CUCGGUCCUCGGUAGUGGUUUUCGGGACGACCGGCUUGACCCCAAAGGCAAGAUCCGGUCGGACCCGCGGACCUCGAUCGAAGACCGGU
rfam:Microlunatus soli strain DSM 21800 genome assembly, chromosome: I